AGUAACACGUGGGUAACCUACCUAUAAGACUGGGAUAACUCCGGGAAACCGGGGCUAAUACCGGAUAAUAUUUUGAACCGCAUGGUUCAAUAGUGAAAGACGGUUUCGGCUGUCACUUAUAGAUGGACCCGCGCCGUAUUAGCUAGUUGGUAAGGUAACGGCUUACCAAGGCGACGAUACGUAGCCGACCUGAGAGGGUGAUCGGCCACACUGGAACUGAGACACGGUCCAGACUCCUACGGGAGGCAGCAGUAGGGAAUCUUCCGCAAUGGGCGAAAGCCUGACGGAGCAACGCCGCGUGAGUGAUGAAGGUCUUCGGAUCGUAAAACUCUGUUGUUAGGGAAGAACAAAUUUGUUAGUAACUGAACAAGUCUUGACGGUACCUAACCAGAAAGCCACGGCUAACUACGUGCCAGCAGCCGCGGUAAUACGUAGGUGGCAAGCGUUAUCCGGAAUUAUUGGGCGUAAAGCGCGCGUAGGCGGUUUCUUAAGUCUGAUGUGAAAGCCCACGG
rnacentral:rRNA from 1 species